rnacentral:rRNA from 1 species
GAUGAACGCUGGCGGCGUGCCUAAUACAUGCAAGUCGAGCGAACAGACGAGGAGCUUGCUCCUCUGACGUUAGCGGCGGAAGGGUGAGUAACACGUGGAUAACCUACCUAUAAGACUGGGAUAAAUUCGGGAAACCGGAGCUAAUACCGGAUAAUAUAUUGAACCGCAUGGUUCAAUAGUGAAAGACGGUUUUGCUGUCACUUAUAGAUGGAUCCGCGCCGCAUUAGCUAGUUGGUAAGGUAACGGCUUACCAAGGCAACGAUGCGUAGCCGACCUGAGAGGGUGAUCGGCCACACUGGAACUAAGACACGGUCCAGACUCCUACGGGAGGCAGCAGUAGGGAAUCUUCCGCAAUGGGCGGAAGCCUGACGGAGCCACGCCGCAUGAGUGAUGAAAGUCUUCGGAUCGUAAAACUCUGUUAUUAGGGAAGAACAAAUGUGUAAGUAACUAUGCACGUCUUGACGGUACCUAAUCAGAAAGCCACGGCUAACUACGUG